rnacentral:rRNA from 1 species
GUGGGGAAUAUUGGACAAUGGGCGAAAGCCUGAUCCAGCCAUGCCGCGUGUGUGAAGAAGGUCUUCGGAUUGUAAAGCACUUUAAGUUGGGAGGAAGGGCAGUAAGUUAAUACCUUGCUGUUUUGACGUUACCGACAGAAUAAGCACCGGCUAACUUCGUGCCAGCAGCCGCGGUAAUACGAAGGGUGCAAGCGUUAAUCGGAAUUACUGGGCGUAAAGCGCGCGUAGGUGGUUUUGUAAGUUGGAGGUGAAAUCCCCGGGCUCAACCUGGGAACUGCCUCCAAAACUGCAUGACUAGAGUACGGUAGAGGGUAGUGGAAUGUCCUGUGUAGCGGUGAAAUGCGUAGAUAUAGGAAGGAACACCAGUGGCGAAGGCGACUACCUGGACUGAUACUGACACUGAGGUGCGAAAGCGUGGGGAGCAAACAGGAUUAGAAACCCCGGUAGUCC